AUAUACAAAACAAAUAGCAAAAUUGGAGACUCUCACUAUCUUCAGAUAGCAGGGUCUAGGGCCUUCUUUCCAAAUCCUUUGUCCAAUCUCCAACCCAGCACAUUAAUGGCGGAAUCUUCGCCAAAGAAUCCUCUGCAGCUGAUGAGAGUUGAGUGCACCAGUGAAUCACCUUAGGUACGGGGAAGAAUAGUGUUGAGCAUGGAUAGAUUACACCAAGACGCUACAGAUCUCACUAACGCCAUGUAUUCUUGUCCAUUAAAGAUUCUUCAACUCAACAAAUCUUGGCCCUGUUCCUAUAUGAAAUGGUUGAGUUCCAAGGAACUGAUACCACUAUCUAAAAAGUGCCUAGUACGAGCCAUCCUCGCUGAUUUCUAAUGGUUCAAGGCCGUCACUGUUUAGAUCAUGGAAGUUCUUGGCAUUUGGAGACUUGUUGCUUUCUUUUUAUUUUUGAUGUCUAUAUUUUAUAUUUUGUAAGACAAACUUCUUGUAUAUAGAUAUAUACAUGUACUUUAGACUUUUUUAUUGGUGACACUAGAUUCGGAAUUGGCAUCUAUAUAUUGUCUUUCUUAUCACUUUCGGACCCUUACAGCAUAUUUUAUACCAUUUU